UACGUAGGGGGCUAGCGUUGUCCGGAAUCAUUGGGCGUAAAGAGCGCGUAGGCGGCCAGAUAAGUCCGGUGUGAAAGUCAAAGGCUCAACCUUUGAAUGCCGCUGGAAACUGUCUGGCUAGAGUCCGGGAGGGGCGAGUGGAAUUCCUGGUGUAGCGGUGAAAUGCGCAGAUAUCAGGAGGAACACCAAUAGCGAAGGCAGCUCGCUGGGACGGUACUGACGCUGAGGCGCGAAAGCGUGGGGAGCGAACAGG
rnacentral:rRNA from 1 species